CUGUGGCCUGAGUCCAGGUUUCCUGCUUGAGUGACAGUCUUUUUAAGCAGCUGACAGCCUCGUUGCUGAUGCCCAGAAUGCAAGAAGGACUGCAGGCCUGCGUCUGGUGAAGGCCUCGCUGAAUGACUUCGGAAUUAUUUGAGACUUGGGGUUGUCCUGCCCUGGUUGUGUAUAUCUGGUGUGUUUUAUGUGCCUUUUCAAUUGAAUUGAAUUGAAAGGGUCACGGGAAGCUAACACUGGGUGAGGCCGCGGUACACACUGGACAAGUGGCCAGUCAGGACUGACAUAUAGAGUCAAACCACCAUUCACGCUCACAUACACACCUACGGACAAUUUAGAGUCACCAAUUAACGUAAACCUAGAUGUCUUUGGAGUGUGGGAAG